CAGAUGAGCAAGGGGGAGGCCAUGUGAGACAUGGAAAGAGAUUGGAUGAAGAGACAAAACACCCACCUGGACUGUUACCUAUGAGAGUUAAAUGAGCUAACAUCUAGAAAAGUCCAGAGCAAUAUGUGGCUUAUGUCAAGGACUCAAUGUACAGUCUCUGUCUCUUGUUUGUUUCUCAAAAGAUUGAAAUCUAUUGAUGAAAUGAUGCCAAUGGCAUUUAAUAA